rnacentral:rRNA from 1 species
UUACACGACCGUACCGCAAACCGACACUGGUGCGCGAGAUGAGUAUUCUAAGGCGCUUGAGAGAACUCAGGAGAAGGAACUCGGCAAAUUGACACCGUAACUUCGGAAGAAGGUGUGCCUUUAGUAGGUGAAGUCCCUCGCGGAUGGAGCCCAAUGAGGUUGCAAAAAAUCGGUGGCUGCGACUGUUUAUUAAAAACACAGCACUCUGCAAACACGAAAGUGGACGUAUAGGGUGUGACGCCUGCCCGGUGCUGGAAGAUUAAAUGAUGGGGUGCAAGCUCUUGAUUGAAGUCCCAGUAAACGGCGGCCGUAACAAUAACGGUCCUAAGGUAGCGAAAUUCCUUGUCGGGUAAGUUCCGACCUGCACGAAUGGCGUAACGAUGGCCACACUGUCUCCUCCUGAGACUCAGCGAAGUUGAAAUGUUUGUGAUGAUGCAAUCUCCCCGCGGAAAGACGGAAAGACCCCAUGAACCUUUACUGUAGCUUUGUAUUGGACUUUGAACAGAUCUGUGUAGGAUAGGUGGGAGGCUUUGAAGCAGGGUCGCUAGAUCUUGUGGAGCCAACGUUGAAAUACCACCCUGGUGUGUUUGAGGUUCUAACCUAGGCCCGUAAUCCGGGUUGGGGACAGUGCAUGGUAGGCAGUUUGACUGGGGCGGUCUCCUCCCAAAGUGUAACGGAGGAGUUCGAAGGUACGCUAGUUACGGUCGGACAUCGUGACGAUAGUGCAAUGGCAUAAGCGUGCUUAACUGCGAGACUGACAAGUCGAGCAGAUGCGAAAGCAGGACAUAGUGAUCCGGUGGUUCUGUAUGGAAGGGCCAUCGCUCAACGGAUAAAAGGUACUCUGGGGAUAACAGGCUGAUACCGCCCAAGAGUUCAUAUCGACGGCGGUGUUUGGCACCUCGAUGUCGGCUCAUCUCAUCCUGGGGCUGUAGCCGGUCCCAAGGGUAUGGCUGUUCGCCAUUUAAAGAGGUACGUGAGCUGGGUUUAAAACGUCGUGAGACAGUUUGGUCCCUAUCUUCCGUGGGCGCUGCAGAUUUGAGGAAGCCUGCUCCUAGUACGAGAGGACCGGAGUGGACGCACCUCUGGUGUAUCGGUUGUCACGCCAGUGGCAUUGCCGAGUAGCUAUGUGCGGAAGAGAUAACCGCUGAAAGCAUCUAAGCGGGAAACUCGUUUCAAGAUGAGAUCUGCCGGGGCCUUGAGCCCCCUGAAGAGUCGUUCAAGACCAGGACGUUGAUAGGUCGGGUGUGGAAGCGCAGUAAUGCGUUAAGCUAACCGAUACUAAUUGCUCGUGCGGCUUGACC